AUUAGAGAUAGAUCUGAUUUGGAAAUACAUGUUAAAUAUGUCGUUAGAAUUUGUUCUUAUGGUUUUUUAUUAGGACUUAAAAGUCAUUUUACAAAAAAAAUUAAACAUGUUUUUAAAAUUUUCAUAAAAAAAAAACAGGUGAGAAAAUAUGACAUGUGAGUUGCUUGAGCAGCACUCUUCAUUAAUCUAGUUGUCUGGACUAAUCCUGAAAUUAAGAUCAAUAAUCUAGCUAUUAGAAAAUUAGAAAUAAACACCACGUGGUAAGCUCAUGAGAUUCUACAGUAUCAUUAUUCCAUCGUGGUAGCGAAAUAGUUUUGCUUGUAGUCCUCAAAUUACUGUUUUAAUUACCUCAAGCUAUUUAUUUUAUUAACAAUUAAAAACCUGCAAGUCUUUCUAAUUACUUGUUCACCUUAACUUACAUAAUUUCACCAAGUCAAAACACUAAAAUAAUCUCGAUUGAGAAGAAAAAUCAAACUACAUACCUUCAGCUGUGUACAUCAAUAUAACUUUACAUAUGUGACAAGUAGUUUCUCAUCUUUGUCAGCCCCAUUACUUUUUUAUUUUUUUUAAAGAGAAUAACCGGUGAUUAAGUCAUCAUAAUUUUUUUUUUGAAUCAGAAAAACUCAUAGAAACAUUUUAGAAUUUCCUUAAUUAUCAUUGUGUGAUUCUAGUACUAAAAAUCAAAUUCAAAA
rnacentral:lncRNA from 1 species